rnacentral:tRNA from 1 species
UAGGGCUUAGCUUAAUUAAAGUGUCUGAUUUGCAUUCAGUCAAUGCAAGAUGAAAGCUUGCAGUCUUUA